rnacentral:rRNA from 2 species
UGGGGAAUUUUGCACAAUGGGGGAAACCCUGAUGCAGCGACGCCGCGUGAUUUAGAAGGCCUUCGGGUUGUAAAAAUCUUUUCUAUGGGAAGAAAAUGACAGUACCAUAGGAAUAAGGUCCGGCUAAAUACGUGCCAGCAGCCGCGGUAAUACGUAUGGACCGAGCGUUGUCCGGAAUCAUUGGGCGUAAAGGGUACGUAGGCGGCCCAGUAAGUUAGAAGUGAAAUAAUAUAGCUCAACUAUAUAAAGCUUUUAAAACUGCUAGGCUUGAGAGAUGGAAGGGAAAGUGGAAUUCCUAGUGUAGCGGUGAAAUGCGCAGAUAUUAGGAAGAAUACCGGUGGCGAAGGCGACUUUCUGGUCAUCAUCUGACGCUGAGGUACGAAAGCGUGGGUAGCAAACAGG